rnacentral:rRNA from 1 species
UACGUAGGGGGCGAGCGUUGUCCGGAUUCAUUGGGCGUAAAGCGCUUUAAGGCGGUUCGCUAAGUCGGGUGUGAAACCUCCAGGCUCAACCUGGAGACGCCACUCGAUACUGGCGUGACUAGAGUCCGGUAGGGGACCACGGAAUUCCUGGGUGUAGCGGUGAAAUGCGCAGAUAUCAGGAGGAACACCAGUGGCGAAGGCGGUGGUCUGGGCCGGAACUGACGCUGUAGAGCGAAAGCGUGGGGAGCGAACAGG